GACGAACGCUGGCGGCGUGCUUAACACAUGCAAGUCGAACGGAAAGGCCCUGCUUUUGUGGGGUGCUCGAGUGGCGAACGGGUGAGUAACACGUGAGUAACCUGCACUUGACUUUGGGAUAACUUCAGGAAACUGGGGCUCAUACCGGAUAGGAGCUCCUGCUGCAUGGUGGGGGUUGGUAAGUUUCGGCGGUUGGGGAUGGACUGGCGGCUUAUCAGCUUGUUGGUGAGGUAGUGGCUUACCAAGGCUUUGACGGGUAGCCGGCCUGAGAGGCUGACCGGCCACAUUGGGACUGAGAUACGGCCCAGUCUCCUACGUGAGGCAGCAGGGGGGAAUAUUGCACAAUGGGCGGAAGCCUGAUGCAGCAACGCCGCGUGCGGGAUGACGGCCUUCGGGUGGUAAACAGCUUUCGCCUGUGACGAAGCGUGAGUGACGGUAAUUGGUAAAGAAGCACCGGCUAACUACGUG
rnacentral:rRNA from 1 species